AAGACCAUAGUCAAUACACAUGAUAUAUGAGUUGCAUUCAUAAGGAGUUACUUUUAACUGGUUUUA
rnacentral:tRNA from 1 species